UACGAAGGGGGCUGGCGUUGUUCGGAAUCACUGGGCGUAAAGGGCGCGUAGGCGGCCGCUCAAGUCGGGGGUGAAAGCCUGUGGCUUAACCACAGAAUUGCCUUCGAUACUGUUUGGCUUGAGACCGGAAGAGGUGAGUGGAACUGCGAGUGUAGAGGUGAAAUUCGUAGAUAUUCGCAAGAACACCAGUGGCGAAGGCGGCUCACUGGCCCGAUACUGACGCUGAGACGCGAAAGCGUGGGGAGCGAACCGG
rnacentral:rRNA from 1 species